UGUGAUUUGUUUUUCUUAUUUAUCAUUUUUGAGAUGAUGAUUUUUUUUUAUUAUAUUGAGCAUGUUUAGUUUUUUUACGAGGUUAGCGUGAUUCAUCUAUAAUUUUUUUUUAUUUUAUAUAGAUUAAGCUUAUUUUAAAAAAUAUAUAUUUAUUUUUUUACAAUAUUUUUAAUAUGUGCAUCCUAGUAUGUAAUUUUUUUUCUUUUAUUUUAUUUAAUAAAUUUUAUGUGUAUGUCGAUUUUUGUUACAUAUUGGUUUUCAUAAAUAAAUUCAUUAAAUACAACCGAGUAAAUCAC
rnacentral:lncRNA from 1 species